rnacentral:rRNA from 1 species
GGGCGAAAGCCUGAAGCAGCAACGCCGCGUGUGUGAUGAAGGCCUUCGGGUCGUAAAGCACUUUUCUGGGAGAUGAGAAAGGACAGUAUCCCAGGAAUAAGUCUCGGCUAACUACGUGCCAGCAGCCGCGGUAAAACGUAGGAGGCGAGCGUUAUCCGGAUUCACUGGGCGUAAAGCGCGUGCAGGUGGCGCGGUAAGUUGGGCGUGAAAGCUCCCGGCUCAACUGGGGGAGGUCGUCCAAUACUACCGUGCUUGAGAGCAGAAGAGGAAGAUGGAAUUCCCGGUGUAGUGGUGAAAUGCGUAGAUAUCGGGAGGAACACCAGUGGCGAAGGCGAUCUUCUGGUCUGUUUCUGACACUCAGACGCGACAGCUAGGGUAGUAAACGGGAUUAGAGACCCCGGUAAUCCUAGCCGUAAACGAUGUGAACUUGGCGUUGGUGGGUUAAACUCCAUCAGUGCCGUAGCAAACGCGAUAAGUUCACCGCCUGGGGACUACGGCCGCAAGGUUA